AGCCCGGUGGUGUAGCGGCCAAAGAAACGCAAAAAACUUUUACGGUUAAGCAUUCAGGGCUUUGGACCCUGAAACGCCAGUUCGAAUCUGGCCCGGGCUACCA
rnacentral:tRNA from 1 species